rnacentral:lncRNA from 1 species
AUGGAGUGGCCGCUCAGCUCGACUGAUCCAUCCACACCACGCCGGGUGUUUCCUGCAGCAACUGUCACCAGGGCAACCAGCAGUCAGGCGAAGCCACGAGGUUCCCUCAUCACUGCCCGGUCAUUCUCUAAGCACACGCCCUGGUCAGUCAGUUCCCCCUUCCAGCUGACUCCUGAACUCCAACGUCAGUGUGGCAGAAGCUGUGAUUCCACUGGAAAGGUGAAAGAGGUAUUUCAGCUCUCUGGCCAUGCUCGGUGUCGUCUUGGCUCUUCUCACCUGGCGGGAAGAGGCCCACAAAACACCACACAGGACCAUUAUUGGAAAGCCAAAAGAUUUUUACUUCUCCUCAGUAUGGCGUCCCUGGGUAAUAAUCAGGUAAGCGCUCUUCUCCACAGCUCUCUAAAACUUUUUUUUUCCUCGGGACCCAUAACUGUGUCAUUUAAGUGCUUAUUCUAAGCCAAGCACGUCGUAGGUACCGGAGAAGCAGCGUGACCCAGCGGAAAGACCAAGGGCCUGGAAGCCAGAGGACCUGAGUUCUAAAUUCAGCUUCACCACUUGUCGGCUGCGGGACCUUGGGCAGGUCAGUCUCCUUCCUUGGCAGGGUCGGGGAUUGAGAGGUAGAAAGGUAAACUCCUCGCUGAGCCCCGGCAUUGAUUUCAUCGUUUAAUUUUGGGGGGCCGUCAAGGGAAGAAGGGGACUGAACCCCCGGGGAGAGCCGGGGUCUGGGAUAAGAAAGGAAGCUUGUGACCUCUGGUGCCGCUGCUCUGGAGCCAACGUUCAGAGAAGCAAAUGUUUGUAAGCAUAAGGGGCCAAAUCUCCUUCCUAUUUAGGAGGUUCAGAAAACAAACAGUGCAGGGAGCGGAUGCUGGGAGGUGAUCUUAUAGAACGCCUUUCCAUGCCACUGGACGUUUCCUAAAUCAUUAACGAGAACCUUAAUCGUAUUUAGGUCAAAAUGCAGACAGAAGCUUAUAUAGUCAAUCCC